rnacentral:rRNA from 1 species
AGAGUUUGAUCAUGGCUCAGGAUGAACGCUGGCGGCGUGCUUAACACAUGCAAGUCGAACGAUGAAAGCGGGAGCUUGCUCCUGCUGGAUUAGUGGCGAACGGGUGAGUAACACGUGUGUAACCUGCCCUUGACUCUGGGAUAAGCGUUGGAAACGACGUCUGAUACCGGAUACGACCUUCAGAGGCAUCUCCUGGGGGUGGAAAGAAUUUCGGUCAAGGAUGGACUCGCGGCCUAUCAGCUAGUUGGUGAGGUAAUGGCUCACCAAGGCGACGACGGGUAGCCGGCCUGAGAGGGUGACCGGCCACACUGGGACUGAGACACGGCCCAGACUCCUACGGGAGGCAGCAGUGGGGAAUAUUGCACAAUGGGCGCAAGCCUGAUGCAGCAACGCCGCGUGAGGGACGACGGCCUUCGGGUUGUAAACCUCUUUAGUAGGGAAGAAGCGAAAGUGACGGUACCUGCAGAAAAGCACCGGCUAACUACGUG